GUAACGGCGAGGGAAGGGGGAAAAGCUCAAAUUUUAAAUCUGCUAGGUUUUACCUGUCAGAAUUGUAAUUUGAAGAAGCGUUUUCCGCGUCUCGGUUGGCCCAAAUCCUUUGGGAUGAGGUAUCAUGGAGGGUGAGAAUCCCGUUCGGUUGACCUCAUGACGUUCUACGAUACGCUUUCUAA
rnacentral:rRNA from 1 species